rnacentral:lncRNA from 1 species
GGACUAGCGGGGGCGGGCAGAGCCUCAUUGUUCUACAGAAUGUAGGGAGUGGGGAGACAGGACCACAGGAAGUGAGUGGGGUUCAGCUUCAGCCAGCACAGGAAGUGGCCACGGUCCAACUACAGCCUGCACAGGAAGUGACCACAGUCCAGCUACAACCAGCACAGGAGGUGACUACAGUCCAGCUCCAGCCCCUGACAGGACAAGUCUCCAAUUCUAGUGGAGGAGCUGUGGCUACCGAGGCUCCAAACCUGCUGGUGGUUCAGAGUGGGGCAGCUGAAGAGUUGCUGACCAGCUCUGGACCUGGGGAAGUGGGAGACAGUGAGGCCAGCGCUGGUAUGGUUCAGGAUGUCCUGUUUGAGACAUUGCAGACAGAUGAGGGGCUGCAGAGUGUGCUGGUGCUGAGUGGAGCGGAUGGGGAACAGACUAGGCUCUGUGUGCAGGAGGUGGAAACGCUUUCGCCUGGACUGACCGAGCCAGCUGCCACUGACCCAUCAGGACAGAAACUCCUUAUUUUUCGUAGCGCCCCAGCUGCUGACCUUCUAGAAAGUAGCAGCGUUGCAGGAGGUACCACAACGCUGCAACUCCUGGCCCCACCAGCACCUGGCCCGGUCUCUGCCCCUGUGGGGGUGCCUGUAGCUCCCCCAUCCCAGAUGGUACAAGUGGUCCCCGCAGUGACUGGACCAGGGGUCAUGCCUCCCCAGAACUUGCCCUCCAUCCAGAUAGUGCAGACUCUGCCUGCAGUCCAGUUGGUACACACGUUUUGAAGAGACCCAGUAGCAGCUCUGUCACAAACCCUCUUCCCCCGCAAUUAACUGUUCUCCUCAGCUGGGCUGGGGUCAGCCCCAGAGUCAAGGGGGCUGCUGGCUGGACUUGCUAAUAAAGACCCAGAAUCUCC